rnacentral:tRNA from 1 species
GGGGGUGUAGCUCAGCUGGGAGAGCGCUUGCUUCGCAUGCAAGAAGUCGGCGGUUCGAGUCCGCUCACCUCCA